rnacentral:rRNA from 1 species
GUCUCCGUANGUGAACCUGCGGANNNAUCAUUACACAAAUAUGAAGGCGGGCUGGAACCUCUCGGGGUUACAGCCUUGCUGAAUUAUUCACCCUUGUCUUUUGCGUACUUCUUGUUUCCUUGGUGGGUUCGCCCACCACUAGGACAAACAUAAACCUUUUGUAAUUGCAAUCAGCGUCAGUAACAAAUUAAUAAUUACAACUUUCAACAACGGAUCUCUUGGUUCUGGCAUCGAUGAAGAACGCAGCGAAAUGCGAUAAGUAGUGUGAAUUGCAGAAUUCAGUGAAUCAUCGAAUCUUUGAACGCACAUUGCGCCCUUUGGCAUUCCAAAGGGCAUGCCUGUUCGAGCGUCAUUUGUACCCUCAAGCUUUGCUUGGUGUUGGGCGUCUUGUCUCUAGCUUUGCUGGAGACUCGCCUUAAAGUAAUUGGCAGCCGGCCUACUGGUUUCGGAGCGCAGCACAAGUCGCACUCUCUAUCAGCAAAGGUCUAGCAUCCAUUAAGCCUU